UUUCUCAGUAGUGCGAGACGAUUUCAAAGAUUUAAUAUUCAAAUUCACUAAUCUCAACGUGAAAAUAGAAAAAAUAUCACAAACAUUACGUGGCUAUACAUUGUUAAAUAACACAAAACGACAAUCCUAUUAAGUCACAUAAUACACAUAAAUAUUUAAAUAAAAGUGUUUUGUGGAUAUUUUCUGAGAAAGGUUAAAGUAGUAAUCGCUGUUAGAUUCCGAUUAAGUGAAGAUCCUCAUCGAGCCAUCAAUACCAAUUCCAUGUAAGGAAAUGUCGCAAAAGAGACCGUCAAGAAAACCCUGUCGGGCGAUGCGGGGCGCGUACACUCAACGGAAUCAAGAAACCCUUUCGAUUAGCACACUCUCUCCUGGUCGUCGGUGCUAUCCUCUCGCACGCCCAACGCACCCUUUCGCAAAGGACACGCAAAUGCGACUGGGUCCGGCUUCGGAAGUUAGUGAAGUUUCAUGUCCUAUUAUAACAGGGGCGUAAAUUAAUCAGACAAGAAUAUCCACUUCGGCACAUCCGCCUACGUUAAUUCUUAAACUAUUUGCCAGAAGAGUUUUAAAUCUUAAGAUGGAAGGUAAAAAGGCGAUUAGUGGAGACAGUGUGCGUUUAAUCCUCAUUAUUAAUACCGACCGGCCAUUAAUAAUCAAAUUAAUUAGCCAUUCUUGACCAUAACUAGUGUUGGGCAAGCGUCCGAGCCAAACUUCUUGCCGGAACAUUAAUAAUUUCAGAUUAAUUAUUAAUUUCGUGGCCGUAGAGAUCCAUGGAGGGUAUGCGCAAGCUGUGUGUUCGAAUUUGAAAACUUGAAUUAUUCAAAAUCAAGUGAAGCAUAUUAUAUCUAUGACGAAACAGGAAACAGUGGUUGUGACCUAAACUAUAACUGCUCCCCUUUUGCUGUGCAGAUGGGCUAACGACCAAUGUGGUCAUACCCAACUCUAGAGCUUAUGACCUGCAGUCGCGACAUCGGGCUUGUUAUAAUUCUGCAUGUGCAGUGAUUAUGUGCGGCCGCUUAUUUCGUGAUUAAAACAACAAACUUUGGCGAUAAGUUAAGCGACAUCUGCGUCUGUCCGGUUAGUGGUCGACGACGGUCCAGCACACACCAGCCGUGUGCGCGAAUCUCUCUUGUCGCAUUACUCGUAAAGCGGAGAAGUUGCGGUCGUCCGCUCUACCACCCCCACAUAGUACUUGUCAGCAACAUGCCUGUGCAUUCACACAAAACGUAGUUAAUAUAACUUUUCUUUCCCCA